CAGCCGCCACGGUAAUACGAAGGGUGCAAGUGUUAAUCGGAAUUACUGGGCGUAAAGCGUGCGUAGGCGGUUUGUUAAGUCUGUUGUGAAAUCCCCGGGCUCAACCUGGGAAUGGCAAUGGAUACUGGCAAGCUAGAGUGUGUCAGAGGAUGGUGGAACUCCCGGUGUAGCGGUGAAAUGCGUAGAGAUCGGGAGGAACAUCAGUGGCGAAGGCGGCCAUCUGGGACAACACUGACGCUGAGGCACGAAAGCGUGGGGAGCAAACAGGAUUAGAUACCCCAGUAGUCCCUGUCUCUUAUAC
rnacentral:rRNA from 1 species